GAGUUUGAACCUGGCUCAGGAUGAACGCUGGCGGCGUGCCUAAUACAUGCAAGUCGAGCGAACCACUUCGGUGGUGAGCGGCGAACGGGUGAGUAACACGUAGGUGGUCUGCCCAUCAGACGGGGACAACGAUUGGAAACGAUCGCUAAUACCGGAUAGGACGAAAGUUUAAAGGUGCUUCUGGCACCGCUGAUGGAUGAGCCUGCGGCGCAUUAGCUAGUUGGUAGGGUAAAGGCCUACCAAGGCGACGAUGCGUAGCCGACCUGAGAGGGUGAACGGCCACACUGGGACUGAGACACGGCCCAGACUCCUACGGGAGGCAGCAGUAGGGAAUCUUCGGCAAUGGGCGAAAGCCUGACCGAGCAACGCCGCGUGAAUGAUGAAGGCCUUCGGGUUGUAAAAUUCUGUUAUAAGGGAAGAACGACUUUAGUAGGAAAUGGCUAGAGUGUGACGGUACCUUAUGAGAAAGCCACGGCUAACUACGUGCCAGCAGCCGCGGUAAUACGUAGGUGGCGAGCGUUAUCCGGAAUUAUUGGGCGUAAAGAGCGCGCAGGUGGUUGAUUAAGUCUGAUGUGAAAGCCCACGGCUUAACCGUG
rnacentral:rRNA from 1 species